rnacentral:rRNA from 1 species
UUAAGUUAUUAAGGGCGCACGGUGGAUGCCUUGGCACUAGAAGCCGAUGAAGGACGUUACUAACGACGAUAUGCUUUGGGGAGCUGUAAGUAAGCUUUGAUCCAGAGAUUUCCGAAUGGGGAAACCCAGCAUGAGUUAUGUCAUGUUAUCGAUAUGUGAAUACAUAGCAUAUCAGAAGGCACACCCGGAGAACUGAAACAUCUUAGUACCCGGAGGAAGAGAAAGAAAAUUCGAUUCCCUUAGUAGCGGCGAGCGAAACGGGAAGAGCCCAAACCAACAAGCUUGCUUGUUGGGGUUGUAGGACACUCUAUACGGAGUUACAAAGGACGACAUUAGACGAAUCAUCUGGAAAGAUGAAUCAAAGAAGGUAAUAAUCCUGUAGUCGAAAAUGUUGUCUCUCUUGAGUGGAUCCUGAGUACGACGGAGCACGUGAAAUUCCGUCGGAAUCUGGGAGGACCAUCUCCUAAGGCUAAAUACUCUCUAGUGACCGAUAGUGAACCAGUACCGUGAGGGAAAGGUGAAAAGCACCCCGGAAGGGGAGUGAAAUAGAACCUGAAACCGUGUGCUUACAAGUAGUCAGAGCCCGUUAAUGGGUGAUGGCGUGCCUUUUGUAGAAUGAACCGGCGAGUUACGAUUUGAUGCAAGGUUAAGCAGUAAAUGUGGAGCCGUAGCGAAAGCGAGUCUGAAUAGGGCGUUUAGUAUUUGGUCGUAGACCCGAAACCAGGUGAUCUACCCUUGGUCAGGUUGAAGUUCAGGUAACACUGAAUGGAGGACCGAACCGACUUACGUUGAAAAGUGAGCGGAUGAACUGAGGGUAGCGGAGAAAUUCCAAUCGAACCUGGAGAUAGCUGGUUCUCUCCGAAAUAGCUUUAGGGCUAGCCUCAAGUGAUGAUUAUUGGAGGUAGAGCACUGUUUGGACGAGGGGCCCCUCUCGGGUUACCGAAUUCAGACAAACUCCGAAUGCCAAUUAAUUUAACUUGGGAGUCAGAACAUGGGUGAUAAGGUCCGUGUUCGAAAGGGAAACAGCCCAGACCACCAGCUAAGGUCCCAAAAUAUAUGUUAAGUGGAAAAGGAUGUGGCGUUGCCCAGACAACUAGGAUGUUGGCUUAGAAGCAGCCAUCAUUUAAAGAGUGCGUAAUAGCUCACUAGUCGAGUGACACUGCGCCGAAAAUGUACCGGGGCUAAACAUAUUACCGAAGCUGUGGAUUGUCCUUUGGACAAUGGUAGGAGAGCGUUCUAAGGGCGUUGAAGCAUGAUCGUAAGGACAUGUGGAGCGCUUAGAAGUGAGAAUGCCGGUGUGAGUAGCGAAAGACGGGUGAGAAUCCCGUCCACCGAUUGACUAAGGUUUCCAGAGGAAGGCUCGUCCGCUCUGGGUUAGUCGGGUCCUAAGCUGAGGCCGACAGGCGUAGGCGAUGGAUAACAGGUUGAUAUUCCUGUACCACCUAUAAUCGUUUUAAUCGAUGGGGGGACGCAGUAGGAUAGGCGAAGCGUGCGAUUGGAUUGCACGUCUAAGCAGUAAGGCUGAGUAUUAGGCAAAUCCGGUACUCGUUAAGGCUGAGCUGUGAUGGGGAGAAGACAUUGAGUCUUCGAGUCGUUGAUUUCACACUGCCGAGAAAAGCCUCUAGAUAGAAAAUAGGUGCCCGUACCGCAAACCGACACAGGUAGUCAAGAUGAGAAUUCUAAGGUGAGCGAGCGAACUCUCGUUAAGGAACUCGGCAAAAUGACCCCGUAACUUCGGGAGAAGGGGUGCUCUUUAGGGUUAACGCCCAGAAGAGCCGCAGUGAAUAGGCCCAAGCGACUGUUUAUCAAAAACACAGGUCUCUGCUAAACCGUAAGGUGAUGUAUAGGGGCUGACGCCUGCCCGGUGCUGGAAGGUUAAGAGGAGUGGUUAGCUUCUGCGAAGCUACGAAUCGAAGCCCCAGUAAACGGCGGCCGUAACUAUAACGGUCCUAAGGUAGCGAAAUUCCUUGUCGGGUAAGUUCCGACCCGCACGAAAGGCGUAACGAUUUGGGCACUGUCUCAACGAGAGACUCGGUGAAAUCAUAGUACCUGUGAAGAUGCAGGUUACCCGCGACAGGACGGAAAGACCCCGUGGAGCUUUACUGUAGCCUGAUAUUGAAAUUCGGCACAGCUUGUACAGGAUAGGUAGGAGCCUUUGAAACGUGAGCGCUAGCUUACGUGGAGGCGCUGGUGGGAUACUACCCUAGCUGUGUUGGCUUUCUAACCCGCACCACUUAUCGUGGUGGGAGACAGUGUCAAGCGGGCAGUUUGACUGGGGCGGUCGCCUCCUAAAAGGUAACGGAGGCGCUCAAAGGUUCCCUCAGAAUGGUUGGAAAUCAUUCAUAGAGUGUAAAGGCAUAAGGGAGCUUGACUGCGAGACCUACAAGUCGAGCAGGGUCGAAAGACGGACUUAGUGAUCCGGUGGUUCCGCAUGGAAGGGCCAUCGCUCAACGGAUAAAAGCUACCCCGGGGAUAACAGGCUUAUCUCCCCCAAGAGUUCACAUCGACGGGGAGGUUUGGCACCUCGAUGUCGGCUCAUCGCAUCCUGGGGCUGUAGUCGGUCCCAAGGGUUGGGCUGUUCGCCCAUUAAAGCGGUACGCGAGCUGGGUUCAGAACGUCGUGAGACAGUUCGGUCCCUAUCCGUCGUGGGCGUAGGAAAUUUGAGAGGAGCUGUCCUUAGUACGAGAGGACCGGGAUGGACAUACCUCUGGUGUACCAGUUGUCGUGCCAA